rnacentral:rRNA from 1 species
GAGUUUGAUCCUGGCUCAGGACGAACGCUGGCGGCGUGCUUAACACAUGCAAGUCGAGCGAUGAAGCUUCCUUCGGGAAGUGGAUUAGCGGCGGACGGGUGAGUAACACGUGGGCAACCUGCCUCAAAGAGGGGAAUAGCCCUCCGAAAGGAGGAUUAAUACCGCAUAAAGUUAGAGUUUCGCAUGAAACUUUAACCAAAGGAGUAAUCUGCUUUGAGAUGGGCCCGCGUCCCAUUAGCUAGUUGGUAAGGUAAUGGCUUACCAAGGCAACGAUGGGUAGCCGACCUGAGAGGGUGAUCGGCCACAUUGGAACUGAGACACGGUCCAGACUCCUACGGGAGGCAGCAGUGGGGAAUAUUGCGCAAUGGGGGAAACCCUGACGCAGCAACGCCACGUGGGUGAUGAAGGUUUUCGGAUCGUAAAACCCUGUUUUCUGGGACGAUAAUGACGGUACCAGAUGAGGAAGCCACGGCUAACUACGUGCCAGCAGCCGCGGUAAUAC